CAAUGAAGGAAGCAUGGUAAUGUGCACGGAUAUUGAAUUAUAUGGAUCAAUAUGUCUGCUCUCUCUGAUGCUUUUCCGGCUUUGAUUUGGGGGCCUGGUUGCGAUCCACAUCU